rnacentral:rRNA from 1 species
AUGCAGAACUGGAGCAAGGGGAAGCAAAAGGAGAAGGUCAACAACGCCGUGCUGUUCGACCAGGCCACCUACGACAAGAUGCUGUCCGAGGCGCCCAAGUACAAGCUCGUCACCCCCUCCGUCCUCUCUGAGCGCCUUAGGAUCAAUGCGUCCCUUCAUGGGAGGGGCAUCAAGGACCUGAUGGCAAGGGGGCUCGUGAGGGAGGUGUCCCUUCAUGCCAGCCAGCAGAUUUUCACCAGGGCUACCAAUGUACCAUCGAGUUAG